AUCGCGGUUUAAUUAAAAUUAAUUACAUAAAUUACCGCAAAAUGUAACCCCAGUUAAUCAAAGUCAAUUUGUUCGCAUGUGUGUCGCAUUGCUGCAUAAUUUCAAGAUAUUUAACUUUGAUUUUUAACUUUAAAGGCAUUUGUUCCCUCGCGAGCAUGAAGAUUUUAUUCAUAAUAAUGAUCAUGUUAUUAAUUGCAAUGGUAUCGGGUACUAGAUGGAAAUAUGCUCUUAAGCAAAAGGCAUACCUGAUUAAAAAUACAGCCGUACAAGUGCAGAAAGAUUUAACGGCAUUGAGGGCGAUACUACAAUUCCAAGCGCGGAUUAAAUCGAAACUGGACUUACAUUGCAAGUAAAUCGAGUAACGCCUACAUCGAAGAAGAUUUUCACAAACUAACAAAUAUGUCGAGCACACAAUAAAACAAAUUGUAAUAUCACAAAUAUAUUUAUUGUAUUAUUGUA